GACGAACGCUGGCGGCGUGCUUAACACAUGCAAGUCGAACGAUGAAGCUAGAGCUUGCUCUGGUGAAUUAGUGGCGAACGGGUGAGUAACACGUGAGUAACCUGCCCCGAACUCUGGGAUAACUGCUGGAAACGGUAGCUAAUACUGGAUACGACCUACGAAGGCAUCUUCUGUAGGUGGAAAGAAUUUCGGUUCGGGAUGGACUCGCGGCCUAUCAGGUUGUGGGUGAGGUAAUGGCUCACCAAGGCGACGACGGGUAGCCGGCCUGAGAGGGUAACCGGCCACACUGGGACUGAGACACGGCCCAGACUCCUACGGGAGGCAGCAGUGGGGAAUAUUGCACAAUGGGCGCAAGACUGAUGCAGCAACGCCGCGUGAGGGAUGACGGCCUUCGGGUUGUAAACCUCUUUUAGUAGGGAAGAAGCGAAAGUGACGGUACCUGCAGAAAAAGCACCGGCUAACUACGUGCCAGCAGCCGCGGUAA
rnacentral:rRNA from 1 species